rnacentral:rRNA from 1 species
UCGGGAAUAUUGCGCAAUGGAGGAAACUCUGACGCAGUGACGCCGCGUGCAGGAAGAAGGUUUUCGGAUUGUAAACUGCUUUAGACAGGGAAGAAAAAAGACAGUACCUGUAGAAUAAGCUCCGGCUAACUACGUGCCAGCAGCCGCGGUAAUACGUAGGGAGCGAGCGUUAUCCGGAUUUAUUGGGUGUAAAGGGUGCGUAGACGGGAAGAUAAGUUAGUUGUGAAAUCCCUCGGCUCAACUGAGGAACUGCAACUAAAACUGUCACUCUUGAGUACUGGAGAGGAAAGUGGAAUUCCUAGUGUAGCGGUGAAAUGCGUAGAUAUUAGGAGGAACACCAGUGGCGAAGGCGACUUUCUGGACAGAAACUGACGUUGAGGCACGAAAGUGUGGGGAGCAAACAGGAUUAGAUACC